UUUUUUUUGAGUUUGAUGAUGGCUCUGAUUGAACGCUAUCCAAAUGCUUGACACAUGCUAAUCGUACGUUAAUACUAGUAUUAAAGUGGUGUAAAGGUGAGUAUAUGAUACUAAAGCUAACUGAAAGUAUGAGAGAAAUUCUCUUAUAAAUAAUCCAUAUAAUAAUAAUAAGGUUUAAAAAACUUUAGUUAUGGUAAAUAAAAGAAACUUAUAUUGUUUUGCUUUUAGAUGAUAAUUAGGUAUCUCGGUUAAAGUAGUAGUUAAAGUAAUGAUUUAAUUCUAGCUUAAAACCGUAGUCGGGGCUGAGAGGUCGAUCGAUCACAUUGGGUCUGAAAAAAACCCAAUAUGUAUAGUACAGCAGUGAGGAAUAUUGGUCAAUGGCCUAUUGGCUGAACCAGCAACUUGGGGGAAUGAGUGAUUUAAACGCAUGUAUUAUGUGUAUUUAAUUUCGGCUAAGUCGUGUAAAGUUCUAGAUAGUUAAUGAUUGUGACAACUUCUAUCUAUAUGUCUUGACCAAAUCUUGUGCCAGCAGUCGCGGCAAGACAAGAAAGACUUGUGUUAUUCAUCUUUAUUAGGUUUAAAGGGUACCUAGACUGUUGUUAUUACCUUAAAAGGGACGUAUAUGACUAGAGUUUGAUGUAAACGAAUUGAACAAUUGAAGGAAAGAUCGAAUGCGGCGAUAUCAAUUAGACAGGUAACGGCAAAUGCUAUUCUUUAUGUGAUAACUGACGUUGAGGGACGAAGGCAAUGUGUCACGAAGAGGAUUAGAGACCCUCCUAGUCUUUGCAGAAAAUUAUGAGUGUUAUAGAUUAUAAUAAAAUUAAAAUCUAUAAAUGAAAGUGUAAACACUCCACCUCAAGAGUAAUGUGGCAACACAGGAACUGAAAUCAUUAGACCGUUUCUGAAACCAGUAGUGAAGUAUGUUAUUUAAUUCGAUGACCCUCGAAUAACCUUACCACAAUUUGUAUAUAAGUUUACAUAUAUGCAUACAAAAUAUGUAUAUCAUAUAAAUUUAUACAAGCGUUGCACGGCUGUCUUCAGUUAAUGUUGUGAAAGUUGGUUAGAUCCAGUGAAUUAGCGUAAACCCUUGCUUUAUUUAUUAGUAUAGAGUAGAUCACCCUUACAAUGGUAAAAAUUAUAAUCGUAAAUAUUUUUUGUAAAGUAGUCGGGAAUUAAAAAUAUAAAAAGUACUUUAUGCUUGUUAAUAUUAUAAAGGUUAAAUAAGGUUAUACCUGGUUUAAUAUGUUUUUAUAUUAAUUCUGAAAAGAGUAUUUAUUAAUUAAAUACGUAAUAUAAAUAUAUUUAUAAUAGUAUUCUUGUUAAAAAAUAUAUAUUAUAAAUAUACUAUAAUGUUUAGUAUUACGUAUUAAAGGUUAUAUGGAUAAUAGGGAUCAAGACAAGUCAUCAUGACCUAAAUAUUGUGGGCUAUAGACGUGCCACACGUUCCUAACAAUGGGAUGCAAUAAUGUGAAUUGGAGCUAAUCCCUAAAAAAGGAUACAUGGAUUGUAAUCUGAAACUCGGUUACAUGAAAUAGGAAUUACUAGUAAUCGUGAGUAAUCACAUCACGGUGAAUAAAGUCUCAGUCGGGUACUAACAACUCGUCAGGCGCUGAAAGAAGUAUGCGCAAGAAGUUUGAUUGCUAUUAACUUUUAAUAUAGAUAAUAGUUAUCUAUAUAUUUUAAUAAGUAGUUUUCGUAUGCGUGACUUUAAUUAGUGUUAAGUCGAAAUACGGUUCGUGUAGUGGAAGUUGCACGGGAUAUAUGAUAUUA
rnacentral:rRNA from 1 species